rnacentral:rRNA from 1 species
AGAACGAACGCUGGCGGCGUGCUUAACACAUGCAAGUCGAGCGAGGCUCCUCCUUCGGGAGGAUGUCCUAGCGGCGAACGGGUGAGUAACACGUGGGCAACCUGCCCCUAGCUCUGGGAUAACCCCGGGAAACCGGGCUAAUACCGGAUAUGACUUCGGAAGGCAUCUUCUGAAGUGGAAAAGGUUUACUGGCUAGGGAUGGGCCCGCGGCCUAUCAGCUUGUUGGUGGGUGAAGGCCUACCAAGGCGACGACGGGUA